rnacentral:rRNA from 1 species
GAUGAACGCUGGCGGCGUGCCUAAUACAUGCAAGUCGAGCGAACAGACGAGGAGCUUGCUUCUCUGACGUUAGCGGCGGACGGGUGAGUAACACGUGGAUAACCUACCUAUAAGACUGGGAUAACUUCGGGAAACCGGAGCUAAUACCGGAUAACAUUUUGAACCGCAUGGUUCAACAGUGAAAGACGGUCUUGCUGUCACUUAUAGAUGGAUCCGCGCCGCAUUAGCUAGUUGGUAAGGUAACGGCUUACCAAGGCAACGAUGCGUAGCCGACCUGAGAGGGUGAUCGGCCACACUGGAACUGAGACACGGUCCAGACUCCUACGGGAGGCAGCAGUAGGGAAUCUUCCGCAAUGGGCGAAAGCCUGACGGAGCAACGCCGCGUGAGUGAAGAAGGUCUUCGGAUCGUAAAACUCUGUUAUUAGGGAAGAACAAAUGUGUAAGUAACUAUGCACGUCUUGACGGUACCUAAUCAGAAAGCCACGGCUAACUACGUG